rnacentral:rRNA from 1 species
CAAUAGCGUAUAUUAAAGUUGUUGCGGUUAAAAAGCUCGUAGUUGGAUUUCUGCUGAGAACGACCGGUCCGCCCUUUGGGUGUGUAUCUGGCUCUUUCUUGGCAUCUUCUUGGUGAACGUUGCUGCACUUGACUGUGUGGAGCGCUACCCAGGACUUUUACUUUGAGGAAAUUAGAGUGUUUCAAGCAGGCAUACGCCUUGAAUACAUUAGCAUGGAAUAAUAAGAUAGGACCUCGGUUCUAUUUUGUUGGUUUCUAGAGCUGAGGUAAUGAUUAAUAGGGAUAGUUGGGGGCAUUCGUAUUUAACUGUCAGAGGUGAAAUUCUUGGAUUUGUUAAAGACUAACAUCUGCGAAAGCAUUUGCCAAGGAUGUUUUCAUUAA